rnacentral:rRNA from 1 species
UACAGAGGUCCCAAGCGUUGUUCGGAUUCAUUGGGCGUAAAGGGUGCGUAGGCGGCGCGGGAAGUCGGGUGUGAAAUCUCGGAGCUUAACUCCGAAACUGCAUUCGAUACUGCCGUGCUUGAGGACUGGAGAGGAGACUGGAAUUUACGGUGUAGCGGUGAAAUGCUUAGAUAUCGUCAAGAACACCUAUAGCGAAGGCAGCUUACUAGGCUGUAACUGACGCUGGAGGAGCGAAAGUGCGUGGGGAG